ACUAUAAUGAGGAGGACGACUGACCC
rnacentral:sRNA from 1 species